rnacentral:rRNA from 1 species
GACGAACGCUAGCUACAGGCUUAACACAUGCAAGUCGAGGGGAAACGCCAUUCAAGCUUGCUUUGAUGGUCGUCGACCGGCGCACGGGUGAGUAACGUGUAUUCAACCUGCCUCUGACCAAGCGUUAACCCGUCGAAAGUCGGCCUAAUACCUUAUGCAGUCGUCGGAAGUCAUCUGAUGACGACGAAAGAUUUCAUCGGUGAGUGAUGGGGAUGCGUCUGAUUAGCUUGUUGGCGGGGUAACGGCCCACCAAGGCAACGAUCAGUAGGGGUUCUGAGGGGAGGGGCCCUCACAGUGGAACUGGGACACGGUCCAAACUCCUACGGGAGGCAGCAGUGAGGGAUAUUGGUCAGUGGGCGAGAGCCUGAACCAGCCAAGUAGCGUGCAGGAAGGCGGCCCUAUGGGUUGUGAACUGCUUUUAUGCGGGGAUAAAGUGAGGGACGUGUCCUUCAUUGCAGGUACCGCAUGAAUAAGGACCGGCUAAUUCCGUG